AGAGACCCUCAGUGCUAGUACGGCUUGCAGCUUAAGCGGGUCCGCGGUCUGAGGAAUGUGAAGUAUUCAACAUGGAGGCGGAGGUCGAUAAGCUGGAACUCAUGUUCCAGAAAGCUGAUUCUGACCUGGAUUACAUUCAGUACAGGCUGGAAUAUGAAAUCAAGGCUAAUCACCCUGAUUCAGCAGGCAAGAAAAAUCCAGUUACACUUUUAAAGGAAUUGACAGCCUUAAAGUCUCGAUACCAAACCUUGUAUGCACGUUUUAAGCCAGUCGUUGUUGAGCAGAAAGAGACUAAGAGCCGAAUUUGUACUACUUUGAAUAAGACCAUGACCAUGAUACAAGAACUACAAAAGCAUACAGACCUGGAGUUGUCACCAUUGACUGAAGAAGAGAAAACUGUGACAGAGCAAUUAAAACCUCACAUGCCAGAUUUAUGAUGAACUGAAAUUUUAAAAGAGAACUCUAAUGAAGAAGAUAAAAUUCCACAGCAAAAUGACAACUGGAGUUUUCUUCUAAAUGUUGGCUCUUCCCAUGGACUCCCACCCUCCUGCCUCUGUCUUCUGAGUGAUAGAACUUCAGCCUCUGUAUUUAGUUGUCAAUGUGAAUUAAUUUCAUCAUUUGGCCUUUGUAUAGUUCACAUUGAUGAAGAGAGACCUAUGUUAGGAAAAAUUGAAUUGGAGUGGGAUUGUGAUGUCUCUGAUAAUGUGGGGAACUACAUUUUCCAGAAUCCAUUUCUCUUACAGUUAUGUUACAAUUUGUCACUAGUCGAACUUGCGUGAGAGUUGGAAGUCAAAGUUGAAGAAGUCCUUAGUUUUUUGUAUGCCAGACCUGGGGCUGGAACUCAGGAAAUGGGAGAGGUCCCUGAGCUAGCUGGCUCAAUGCUGGCACUCUACUACUUGAACCACAUCUCUGCUUCCAGCUUUUUGUUGUUUUGUUUUUGAGUUUUA